rnacentral:rRNA from 1 species
GAUGAACGCUAGCUACAGGCUUAACACAUGCAAGUCGAGGGGUAACGAGAGGAAAGCUUGCUUUCCUUGUCGACGACCGGCGCACGGGUGAGUAACGCGUAUCCAACCUGCCCCCAACUAGGGAAUAACCUUGCGAAAGUAAGACUAAUACCCUAUAAUUUCCUCAGAUGUCAUCUGACGAGGAAUAAAGAUUUAUCGGUUGUGGAUGGGGAGGCGUCUGAUUAGCUUGUUGGCGGGGUAACGGCCCACCAAGGCAACGGUCAGUAGGGGUUCGGCGAGGAAGGUCCCCCACGUUGGAACUGAGACACGGUCCAAACUCCUACGGGAGGCAGCAGUGAGGAAUAUUGGUCAAUGGGCGGAAGCCUGAACCAGCCACGUAGCGUGCGGGAUGCCGGCCCUAUGGGUUGUAAACUGCUUUUAUACAGGAAUAAAGUUAGCCACGUGUGGUUAUUUGUAGGUACUGUAUGAAUAAGUACCGGCUAAUUCCGUGCCAGCCGCCGCUGUAA